CCCAUAGGUUGGGUCGUGACAAUAAAUCUAUUGUUUUCCUUACUUUUUGUCACCAGUGUGAGGUGCAAAUUAAUGGAUACUUUCUAACGGCAACUGACAGGAGUUUUAUAUGGUGUAGUAUCUAGCAUUGCAGAAAAAUGAAUUUGUAGAUGAAGGUCAUGGAAAUAGAGAAGCUCUGCACAUUCUUAUUCAGCAUAGCCUAGAUCCGGCCAUGGUUCAUUUCGGAACCAAAUUGAAAUUGAUCAAGAUCAGAUUGGAAUUGAUUGAUCCUGGCUAAAUCGGAUUUUGAAAAAAUUUCAACUGUUGAACUUGAUCAAAGUCAGACCGAACCAGAUCAAAAUUAAAACUGAAACCUAUAAAAAAACCCGGCUGACUGGUUAGAACCGGCCCCAUAGCCGCCAUACCACAGCCACAAGGUAAACAAGUUUCCUGCUUUGAACAUUGCUGUCAAGUAAUAAUAAUAAUAAUAAUACAAGGAGUAAUCAAAUUCUGAAGCCUGCUAGUUAAGCACUCAAAGCCUAAGUAUCACCUCUUUCCAUUUUAGUAUUUCCGUGCAGCCAAAGGUGCCGGUAUUAAAAAAAGAAAAUGCAGACCGCAUGCCAAUAAUAUUAAGUUUAAUUACCAAUGAGCUUUAGCUCGAUAGUAUUGAAGUUGUGCUAGGAUCGUGAGGUUUUCAGAUUUGAUUUCCAAUCAGAGCCAAUUAUAACAGAAAUAAUAAUAAUAAUAAGUUUAAUUUGUCGGCCUAUUUCAAAGUUGGAACUUUGAACGAGUGUUAAACAGUCUGCCUAAAGGGUUUGACUCUAGUAGAAAUUUAAUUACCUACCUACCAAAGCUUUCUUUGACUGACUUGAUAAU
rnacentral:misc_RNA from 1 species